AUGGAGCUUUUCUCAAGAUUUACUCCCACUAUUUUCCCUACUUGUUCACUGCUCAUCACCUCAUUUUUCCCACUUUUCAUUCUCUUCUCCAGAGAAGAAUGGACUCUCUGUCCUCAGAGGGAAACACAACCUAAUGGGACACAGCUCUGGCACCACAUUUCCUCUUGUUCCUGCUGUCCUGGAAAGGCACAGGCAGCCACCUGGAGCAGUGCACAGCUGGGCCUGGCUCUGACAACACUGACGGAAUGUUCCUUCCAGGUUUGCUUAACAUUACCUUUCAGAGCUUUCUCCUGGCACCACAGGAGAAGAAGAAAAGCACCAAGAAAGUGCCACAUCCACUCCCAAACUCCUUUCAGCUCAGCAGUAGGGAAUCUGCUCAUAUCAGCAGGGAAAGGACUGCAGCCUAGGAGAGGCAGAAGGCAACCCAAGGCCUUCUGCACCUCCUGCGUACAGAGGGGGCCACCCCAGAGAAGCCAGGACAUGUUCUCAGUUUACUAGCAAAGCUGUGGAAACUUUUCUGUCAGUGAAGUGUAGUUUCAGACAUGUAGCACAACACCAAAAUCAUGAUUAAUCUGGUACUGAAAAUAGCAGGGUGCCUUUAGAAAGUGCUGGGGGGAAAAAAAAAUAAAAAAAAAAAUAAAAGACUUAAUCCA
rnacentral:lncRNA from 1 species